rnacentral:rRNA from 1 species
UACGUAGGUCCCGAGCGUUGUCCGGAUUUAUUGGGCGUAAAGCGAGCGCAGGUGGUUUAUUAAGUCUGGUGUAAAAGGCAGUGGCUCAACCAUUGUAUGCAUUGGAAACUGGUAGACUGAGUGCAGGAGAGGAGAGUGGAAUUCCAUGUGUAGCGGUGAAAUGCGUAGAUAUAUGGAGGAACACCGGUGGCGAAAGCGGCUCUCUGGCCUGUAACUGACACUGAGGCUCGAAAGCGUGGGGAGCAAACAGG